GGCAGUAGCUUAAUGGUAGAGCAUCUGCUUCGCAUGCAGAAAGUCCCGGGUGAAAUCUCCAGCAUCCCCU